rnacentral:rRNA from 1 species
AUUGAACGCUGGCGGCAUGCUUUACACAUGCAAGUCGAACGGCAGCGCGGGCUUCGGCCUGGCGGCGAGUGGCGAACGGGUGAGUAAUGCAUCGGAACGUGCCCAGUAGUGGGGGAUAGCCCGGCGAAAGCCGGAUUAAUACCGCAUACGACCUGAGGGUGAAAGCGGGGGACCGAAAGGCCUCGCGCUAUUGGAGCGGCCGAUGUCGGCUUAGCUAGUUGGUGGGGUAAAGGCUUACCAAGGCGACGAUCCGUAGCUGGUCUGAGAGGACGACCAGCCACACGGGGAGUGAGACGCGGCCCAGACUCCUACGGGAGGCAGCAGUGGGGAAUUUUGGACAAUGGGGGCAACCCUGAUCCAGCCAUGCCGCGUGCGGGAAGAAGGCCUUCGGGUUGUAAACCGCUUUUGUUCGGGAAGAAAUCCUCUGGGCUAAUACCCCGGGGGGAUGACGGUACCGGAAGAAUAAGCACCGGCUAACUACGUG